ensembl:lncRNA
AUAAAUUAUAAGUGGAGAAGAAGGAGUUAUUGGCUUCAAAAUUAUGAAAUGGAUGAAGUUUGUCUUUGGUAUCCUGCCCUCCUCAUUGUGCCAUGUCCAGUGGCCUCAGUGUCUUUCCUCGUCCUCCUUAAAACGUCAUUAGAAACUGAUAAUAGUUAUUCCAAUACCAAAUAUUACAAAUCAUCAGUUUCCUUCCCUUGAGGGCAUUUGCAUUUUCAACGUUACCUGUAGGAGUAGAAAGGAGACUGGUGCCUGACUGAAGGGAUUUGAAUCUUUUUUAUGCAGGGCAAGAAAAUGUUUAGAGUUAAAAGGAAGCCCUUUCCUAACACCCUAAAAUUAGCCACUAGUAUUUAGAUUUUAUUUUCCUUUUUUAUGAACAACGAGUUUUGAAUCUAUCCAAUUGAAAAGAUGAGCAUAUUUGAAUACAUGCAUGGGUGCUUUGAGAGCUAUGCAUGUCUCUAAGAAGACCAACAGAAUGAAUUCCAGGGCACCUGGCAAGAAUGUAAUGUUACAUGCUGCAAGUCUGGAUAUAGAUCAGCACCGCUGUAUUACGUAGUUUCAAUAACUAAAAUUAGGGUAAAAUUAUUAAAUAUUAAAAAAUAAGAUAAAUUUGAAUAUGAUUUAAAAGCCUGUGGAACCUGUGGGACGGAAGCACCUGAGUUCUCAUGAAUCAGAAACCAUCCUAUCUACCUGAAGUAUGGACUUUUGAGAACAUAAGAAACAGCUGGCUCUUCUUACUUUUCAUUUGAAAAGGUGGAAAACAGUGGGAAUCUUGAAUUUAAAACCGCAGUUUUCUACAAGCAAAACUGACCGGCCAAGAGGACAAGUGGUCUAGUUCAUGCAGGACCGGCCCAGUGGCAUAGUGGUUAAGUUUGUGCACUCUGCUUCAGUGGCCCAGGGUUUGCAGGUUCGGAUCCUGGGUGUGGACCUAACACCACUCAUC